GGAUGAACGCUAGCGGCAGGCUUAAUACAUGCAAGUCGUGGGGCAGCGCAGUGUAGCAAUACAUGGGCGGCGACCGGCAAACGGGUGCGGAACACGUACACAACCUUCCUUCAAAUGGGGAAUAGCCCAGGGAAACUUGGAUUAAUACCCCGUAACAUUAUGAAGUGGCAUCACUUUAUAAUUAUAGCUCCGGCGUUUGGAGAUGGGUGUGCGGCUGAUUAGGUAGUUGGCGGGGAACGGCCCACCAAGCCUUCGAUCAGUAACUGGUGUGAGAGCACGACCAGUCACAC
rnacentral:rRNA from 1 species